AAACUAACAAGGAUUCCCCUAGUAACGGCGAGCGAACCGGGAAGAGCUCAAAUUUGAAAUCUGGCGUCCUCAGGGCGUCCGAGUUGUAAUCUAUAGAGGCGUUUUCCGUGCCGGACCGUGUCCAAGUCCCUUGGAACAGGGUAUCAAAGAGGGUGACAAUCCCGUACUUGACACGACCACCGGUGCUCUGUGAUACGUCUUCUACGAGUCGAGUUGUUUGGGAAUGCAGCUCAAAAUGGGUGGUAAACUCCAUCUAAAGCUAAAUAUUGGUGGGAGACCGAUAGCGAACAAGUACCGUGAGGGAAAGAUGAAAAGCACUUUGGAAAGAGAGUUAAACAGUAUGUGAAAUUGUUGAAAGGGAAACGAUUGAAGUCAGUCGUGUCCAUUGGAUUCAGCCGGUUCUGCCGGUCUACUUCCUUUGGACGGGUCAACAUCGGUUUUGGUCGACGGAUAAUGGCGGGAGGAAGGUAGCACCCCUCGGGGUGUGUUAUAGCCUCCCGUCGCAUACGCCGGCCGAGACCGAGGAACGCAGCUCGCCUUCAUGGCAGGGG
rnacentral:rRNA from 1 species